GUAAUAAUAAUAAGAUUUGAGAUAAUUUCGAAUAAUUGAGAAUAAAUUUUAAUUAGUUUUGAGAUAAGUUUAGGUUUUGAAAAUAUUGUUAGGGUUCAGGUUUGAGUGAGUUGAUUUUUGCUAUUUCUAGUGGUGUGUCGACUCUCACCCCCUGGGUGGGUGUAAAUCGUUUUUGUUUUGAGUUAAUAUGCAGCAAAUGAGCUUUAACGAAGGAGUUUCUUUAGAUCCUUGUUUUCUCGUUAUAUCCAUGUAACGCAUAUUAGGGAUUGAUGGGUGUUACUUUUAGGGGUGAGGUAUCUCUUGAGGAUGUUACCGAUGUUGUACCUCGGCAUCUAAUCCCUCCAUGAUGGUUGAAAGAGCUCUGCCCACCGCAUGUUGGUUCCCCAGGGAUUCGGUUGUGCGGUUCAUCACCAUAGGUCGAAGCUUGUUCUCUUUAUUUUUUUGGGCCCUAUUUGGCUUGCUCGACACUUAGGGAGUUCUAUUCGAUGGGGAAUCUUCUCUCUGUAGGCUUUAGCCAUGUUUGAUUCCCUUGUAGCUGCUCUGCUCUACACUGCUCUUCUUCAAUCUCUCUGAUUGGUGUUACUGGGGCUACGAGAAGGGGAUGGUGGUGCUUCUCCUCAACUCGAUUCCUCCCCAGCGGGUACGGUUUUGUUUGAGCCAAUGGCCUUGGUUCUUGAUGUAAUUUGGGUCAGCCAAUAAGGCCUUUUGGUUUCCCUAGGUUUUGUUGUGUGGUUCAUCACCAUAGCUCAAAGCUUGUUCUCUUCUCCUUAUUUGGCUUGCUCGACAUCUGGGGAGUUUUAUUUUAUGAGGAAUCUUCUCUUUGUAGGCUUUAGCCGUGUUUGAUUCCCUUCUGGGUAUUCUACUCUUCUUCAAUCUUUCCAGUUGGUGCUGCUAGGGCUACGAGAAAGGGAUGGCGAUGCUUCUCCUCGACCCAUUUCCUUAACAACAAGUAAGGUUUGGGUUGGGCUAAUGACCUUGGUUCUUAAUGUACUUUGGGCUGGUUAAUAGAACUUUUUUUUCGUAAAAUUUUGGAUUUUCUAGCUUGGGUUGAGGAUGCAGGAUUAGCUUUCACUUUUUUUGGUUAUCAUGGGAGAUUAGAAAAUCAAGUGUCAAAAAUGCCCCUAUAUGCUAUUGACCUGAUAAUUUUCAAAGAAGUGUCGAUAACUU
rnacentral:misc_RNA from 1 species